rnacentral:rRNA from 1 species
CUACGGGGCGCAGCAGUAAGGAAUAUUGCGCAAUGGAGGCAACUCUGACGCAGCCAUGCCGCGUGCAGGAAGAAGGCCUUAUGGGUCGUAAACUGCUUUUAUUUAGGAAUAAACCCCCGAACGUGUUCGGGGCUGAAGGUACUAAACGAAUAAGCACCGGCUAACUCCGGCCAGCAGCCGCGGUAAUACGGAGGGUGCAAGCGUUAUCCGGAUUUAUUGGGUUUAAAGGGUGCGCAGGCGGGCUAUUAAGUCAGUGGUGAAAUCCCGGGGCUCGACUCCGGAACUGCCAUUGAUACUGAUAGUCUUGAGUUUGGUUGAAGUGGGCGGAAUGUAGCAUGUAGCGGUGAAAUGCAUAGAUGUGCUACAGAACACCAAUCGCGAAGGCAGCUCACUAAGCCAAAACUGACGCUCAUGCACGAAAGCGUGGGGAUCAAACAGGAUUAGAUACCCUCGUAGUC